GAAGUUUUUCUACCUGUUUUACAGGUUUCAAAUAUUGUGAGAACUUAUACCCCAUAGUGAUCAAAAGAGAGAUAAGGCAUCUUUCCUAUUAGUGGUCAUUGAGUACAUUCAAUUUUUACAUGAGAAGGUACACAAAUACGAACAAUUAUAUCUAGGAUGGAAUCCAAAGCCAACUAAGCUGACGCCAUGGAGAAGCAGCCAUGGUCCUGGAGAAAGUAUGAUUCAUCAUUCACGAGAUAUGAAAACUGAUCCUGGUCCUGGGUUGAUGUUUGCUGGAAAAUUUGAUGAGAAUAAUGUCGCCAUGACCCCCACCAUGCUUCCAAAUGCAC